CAACAAGAGUUUUUACAAGCAGCUAGUUACAAAGCACAUCAUCAUUAUAAUUAUUUGGCACUUACACAGUAGAUCUCAAAGGGCUUUCCAAGCAGUUACCAACUUAUCCCUUGGUCAAGUGAGAUGCAAAGGAUGAAAUAACUUGCCCAAUGUCUCACAGUGGGUCAGUUUCAUAUCCCUGUUGACCACUCUCCCACCACUGCACUGGAAAUGGUUCCUGUCCUCACACAGAGCAUAUACAAGGGCACUGCUGGUGAUGCUCUAGCCUGCCUUCUUAUUUCAGGCUGCAGCAGGUCCCUCAUCAUUUGUAUAUAGAAAAAGGAUCAGCCAUGAAAUGUGUAAGAAAAAGAAGCACUGCUGAGCAGUUUGAGACUUGUGGCAUCUGGCUGGACACUGCAAAGUUAAAGAAGCGCAAAAUACAGGUAAUAAAUCUAUACUAUUUGUGACGCCAUAGCUUUGUACAGCUCUUUACAAACCUAGUACACAAUGUUCUCUGCCCUCAGGAGAUUACAAUCCAAGUUAGAGGGCUCACGUGAGGAGAUAUAGCUUGGGAACAAGAGAGAUUGGCAGAGGGAGAAGCCUAGAGCAUUUUUACCUCUCCCCUCCCCCUCCCUUUUUUUUAAAUAAGCCAUCAUUGAAUUGUCUUAGAUGUGCAAGUGGGGAGUAUCCUAACAGAGACUAGCAGUGCAGAGAAGCAAGGAAGAAUUUAAAGGUGAAGAGGUAGGAAUUGUGGCUUCUUGAGGAAAGAGGGUUGUUCAAGCAGUGUGUGGUACAACUGUAGAUGAAAGGAGAUAAAGGGAAUAACAAGGAGAGGGGAGUUAUGUCACUGUUAACAAGUUAAAUUCACUCUAGCACUUCUCUCCCCACCCAGACUCUCAUAUCCAAGCCAACUUCAAACAUGCCAAAUCCACUUCUGGAGAGGAACUAUAAUAGUCACAUUUCAGUUAAUUUUACUCAGACAAGACUUUCCCAGGCAUACACCAGGCAAACUACCAUCUCUUCGUUCUUCAGCAUUCAACCAACAGGUGAAAAGGAUGAAGAAAACUUAAAGACACAUCCUCUCAUGUCAAAUAAAGGAAAGGGCUCGGAUUUCUUGGCUGCCUCCUCUAUGAAGAACUCUGAGGCUGCUAAGUUAGAGGAAGCCCAGGCACCAAUCUUGAGCCCUCAAGAGGACAACAUUCAGGAGUGUAGCCAGCUGCUUGUGCAAAACGCACAAGGCUUGACCAUUCCCCUGCCAAACUAUACCUUCCCACAAACACAGUCUAACAGCAAGAGUGAGUGCACAGCCCUUGCAAGGACCUCUGCUGAUGAGACAGAAGACUUUUUCUCCAUAAACUUCACCCAGGAUUCGGAGGGAAAUAGGGUUCUAGCUCACAGGAGUUCAGCUGACUCAUUCACUGGGAGAAUUUCAAGGAAGAGAAUGAGUUACUUUAUAGGUGAGAAAGAGGGCCAUUUGUGCUGCAAGAGGGAGAGAACUGGAGUGGGUCUCAAACCUAAACACCUGAUGAAAGGUAGGAGGAGAUGUAAAAACCUGCCUCCUGGUGGAAUUUCUUUUAUGGAUUUCUCAGGGGUUGAGAAUGUAUGUCCUGUUCCCAAGGAUAACGAAGGCCAGCAGACCAAUUGGCCUCUAUCCCAGGGGCAAACUACUAAAGCAGAGUUUUUGAGAGACAGUAGUCAAAAUUUUCCUGGCUUUUGGACAAGAAACUGUCACAAUAUGGCUGGUUCAGCAGAAGAGCAGGGGACCAGUAAGAGUAGUCCUACCACACAGUUGUUUACCCAGGAUUCAGAGGGAUACAGAGUCAUUUCUCACCAGCACUUCUCUGAGAGCAUCAGAUCACCUUUGCAGAAAAAGUAUCUGCAGGACAAAACCAACUUUGACCAUAGAGUGCUUAGCCCACCUUCUGUAGGCUGCUUUAAGGUUUAUUCUUCAGGAGCACAGGACAGAACUCCUUUAGCUACUACAGCUGUGAAUUUAAGUGAGCCUGAGUCAUGCUAUGAUUUGUUAUUCACAGAGGAUUCAGAAGGAAAUAGAAUUAUCAAACACUGA
ensembl:lncRNA